UUAAGUUAAUAAGGGCGCACGGUGGAUGCCUUGGCACUAGAAGCCGAUGAAGGACGUGACUAACGACGAAAUGCUUUGGGGAGCUGUAAGUGAGCAAUGAUCCAGAGAUGUCCGAAUGGGGGAACCCGGCAGGUAAUGCCUGUCACUCAUUACUGUUAAGGUAAUGUAGAGGAAGACGCAGUGAACUGAAACAUCUAAGUAGCUGUAGGAAGAGAAAGCAAAAGCGAUUGCCUUAGUAGCGGCGAGCGAAACGGCAAGAGGGCAAACCGAAGAGUUUACUCUUCGGGGUUGUAGGACUGCAACGUGGACUUAAAGAUUAUAGAAGAACUACCUGGGAAGGUAGGCCAAAGAGAGUAAUAGCCUCGUAUUCGAAAUAGUCUUUAUACCUAGCAGUAUCCUGAGUACGGCGAGACACGAGAAAUCUCGUCGGAAUCUGGGAGGACCAUCUCCCAACCCUAAAUACUCUCUAGUGACCGAUAGUGAACCAGUACCGUGAGGGAAAGGUGAAAAGCACCCCGGGAGGGGAGUGAAAUAGAACCUGAAACCGUGUGCCUACAACAAGUUCGAGCCCGUUAAUGGGUGAGAGCGUGCCUUUUGUAGAAUGAACCGGCGAGUUACGAUAUGAUGCGAGGUUAAGUUGAAGAGACGGAGCCGUAGGGAAACCGAGUCUUAAUAGGGCGCAUUAGUAUCAUGUCGUAGACCCGAAACCAUGUGACCUACCCAUGAGCAGGUUGAAGGUGAGGUAAAACUCACUGGAGGACCGAACCAGGGCACGUUGAAAAGUGCUUGGAUGACUUGUGGGUAGCGGAGAAAUUCCAAACGAACUUGGAGAUAGCUGGUUCUCUCCGAAAUAGCUUUAGGGCUAGCGUCGAUGUUAAGUCUCUUGGAGGUAGAGCACUGUUUGGGUGAGGGGUCCAUCCCGGAUUACCAAUCUCAGAUAAACUCCGAAUGCCAAUGAGAUAUAAUCGGCAGUCAGACUGCGAGUGCUAAGAUCCGUAGUCGAAAGGGAAACAGCCCAGACCACCAGCUAAGGUCCCAAAAUAUAUGUUAAGUGGAAAAGGAUGUGGGGUUGCACAGACAACUAGGAUGUUAGCUUAGAAGCAGCUAUUCAUUCAAAGAGUGCGUAAUAGCUCACUAGUCGAGUGACCCUGCGCCGAAAAUGUACCGGGGCUAAAACAUAUUACCGAAGCUGUGGAUACCUUUAUAGGUAUGGUAGGAGAGCGUUCUAUGUGCGAAGAAGGUGUACCGUGAGGAGUGCUGGAGCGCAUAGAAGUGAGAAUGCCGGUAUGAGUAGCGAAAGACAGGUGAGAAUCCUGUCCACCGUAAGACUAAGGUUUCCAGGGGAAGGCUCGUCCGCCCUGGGUUAGUCGGGACCUAAGGAGAGACCGAAAGGUGUAUCCGAUGGACAACAGGUUGAUAUUCCUGUACUAGAGUAUAUAGUGAUGGAGGGACGCAGUAGGCUAACUAAACCAGACGAUUGGAAGUGUCUGGCCAAGCAGUGAGGUGUGAUAUGAGUCAAAUGCUUAUAUCUUUAACAUUGAGCUGUGAUGGGGAGCGAAGUUUAGUAGCGAAGUUAGUGAUGUCACACUGCCGAGAAAAGCUUCUAGCGUUAAUUAUACUCUACCCGUACCGCAAACCGACACAGGUAGUCGAGGCGAGUAGCCUCAGGUGAGCGAGAGAACUCUCGUUAAGGAACUCGGCAAAAUGGCCCCGUAACUUCGGGAGAAGGGGCGCUGACUGAUGGUCAGCCGCAGUGAAUAGGCCCAAGCAACUGUUUAUCAAAAACACAGCUCUCUGCUAAAUCGUAAGAUGAUGUAUAGGGGGUGACGCCUGCCCGGUGCUGGAAGGUUAAGAGGAGUGCUUAGCGUAAGCGAAGGCAUGAAUUGAAGCCCCAGUAAACGGCGGCCGUAACUAUAACGGUCCUAAGGUAGCGAAAUUCCUUGUCGGGUAAGUUCC
rnacentral:rRNA from 1 species